UCACCAUUCAGGCGCUCAUGAAUGGGCUU
rnacentral:piRNA from 1 species